CGGCAGCAGUAGAGUGUUCAGCAGCGCAGCACCCGGGGCAUGCCCUGUCCUCUCGGCGUCGACCCCCCAACCAAAGAAAACCCAGGGGUCGCUCUCGUGUGUCCGCUGCAGCAGCGAAAUAAACACUCUGACGCGGCCACGCACGGUUUCGGGAAUUCCCCUGGUCCGCCCCUUGGCCCUCUGCCGUGUUUCCUUCGUACCUUGAGACGUUGGACUCUGCUGUAGUUGUGCGAGUUGGCUUGGCCAGUCAUUUGCAUACCAACGGUAUUUACACGGCAGAAGAUUCUUGAGCAAAACCUGUCCUCUGCGGAGUAUCUUUUUUCAAGGACUACCACCGCAUCAUCAGCGUGGGACAAGUUUUUGGAAAUUUCCGCACAAGCAUGCUCAGAUGAUCGAUGGAGGACAACCUUUCUUGAGGUCACCGAAACACAAAAAAGUUGCUAUAAAGUUCUCUUUAAAGAAAGGGAUGUCACCAACCCAUUAGCGUAAAUUUCCUAUUCGAUACUAAUUAGUGGGCUCUUUGCUUCGUCUCUUUCCUUCGCUUUCUUUGAAACUGUAACGAAGCCUUGGGGCUAUUUUCUAUCUCUAGACUAAAUAGAUAGCAGUGAUGAUGACCUGGACGCGUUA